rnacentral:rRNA from 1 species
UGGGGAAUCUUCGGCAAUGGGCGCAAGCCUGACCGAGCCAUGCCGCGUGAGUGACGAAGGCCCUAGGGUCGUAAAGCUCUUUCGCCAGGGAUGAUAAUGACAGUACCUGGUAAAGAAACCCCGGCUAACUCCGUGCCAGCAGCCGCGGUAAUACGGAGGGGGUUAGCGUUGUUCGGAAUUACUGGGCGUAAAGCGCGCGUAGGCGGAUCGGAAAGUUGGGGGUGAAAUCCCGGGGCUCAACCCUGGAACUGCCUCCAAAACUAUCGGUCUUGAGUUCGAGAGAGGUGAGUGGAACUCCGAGUGUAGAGGUGAAAUUCGUAGAUAUUCGGAAGAACACCAGUGGCGAAGGCGGCUCACUGGCUCGAUACUGACGCUGAGGUGCGAAAGUGUGGGGAGCAAACAGGAUUAGAUACCCCCGUAGUCC